AACAGGGUAAUAUAGCGAAAGAGUAGAUAUUGUAAGCUAUGUUUGCCACCUCGCUGUCGACUCAUCAUUUCCUCUUGGUUGUAAAAGCUAAGAAGGGUUUGACUGUUCGUCAAUUAAAAUGUUACGUGAGUUGGGUUAAAUACGAUGUGAAUCAGUAUGGUUCCUAUCUGCUGAAGGAAAUAUUAUCAAAUUAAAUCUCAUUAUUAGUAC
rnacentral:rRNA from 1 species